CUAAGACAAUUCAAUGCUAGCAGACCUGCUCAAAAAGAAAUACUAAAGGAAGUUCCUCAAGCAGAAGGGAAAUGAUGUAAGGGAAAGCUGGAGCAUUAGAGUUGACAGAGGAACAAACACAUGUUUAGAUGAGAUCUUGGAACCUGGAAUCACACAGUCUCAGCUCCAGCAGGGCCUCUGGCAAGAACCCCAGUGUCUUCAGCUACAGACACCACCUCUGAGAAUGCCAAGAAAAGCAAACACAGGCCCCAGAUCUCCUGUUGCACCAACUGGAAAGAAGCCCACAGCAGCAGAGGAGCUGGGCUGUGUAGAUGGACACAACACAAUGCCUUUAUUUUUAUGAGGCAAAAUGGAGAUAAAGAAAAUAUCCUGCACAAUGAUGACAGAGUCUCAAUAUGGAGGAGCUUGGGUCCCUGAAUUACCAUGUGGAGGAAAGCCAAUACGCUGGCCAAAGUUUCCUACCAGGGCUAUUUCAAAAGCCCAAGUGAACAUUCUACUGUUGGAGCCAGUUUGUUCUAUUUAUCAUGUCAAUAAGUCUAUCCUCCCUGACAUAUUAGAAGAAAUAUAAUGUGUGGAGUUAGUGAAAUCAGGAAGACAUGUUUAGUCACCAGGACCCUGUGACAAAACAGAAAAACAAGGAGAGGAGAACUUCAGAAUUUUUUAGUGAGAAAUUGACCAAAAUGAGUUAAAGUUUUAGUAAAUCCAAACUGUGUGUGCAUCAUUCCUGAUUAUGAUGGUAACUGACGCCCUAUCUCAUAUUUUUAUAAUGAGAAAAUCACAUAAAAAUGAAGUAAACAGACAUUAGAAGUGUAGGGUGGGGUCUGGAAAGAUUGGUGCAGAAGAUGAGGUAAAACAGGAAAGAAGUUGAAGUCUUGUGUAAAGGGCUAAUCUGAGCCUGCGUCUUUGAGAUUUCCUUAGGAGUGCUGAGAGUUCAUUUCACAGCAGACUUAAGUGAGUGGAGAUAAUAAAUCUUACAAUGCUUCACCCAUCUUGCCUUCAUGGUUUGCACUGCUCUCAGGUGUGAAUGAGCUUGGAAGAGGGGGGCUCUCCUGGUGAUCUGUGGAAGUUGGCUCCGGAUGGUGGCUUUUGUGAAGGCUACUGCCUAAAGAGCAAUCCUUGCUCCAGAGGUUGGGGCCUGGAAAGGGGUAGUGAAAGUAGUUUUACUAUAAAUAAUUUAGUCACUCUCCAAUUCAAAGAUUUAAGGGACUUUUAAAAUUAUCUUUUUUUUUUUAAUCUUGAAACCAGCUCACUAAAUCUCUGUUUUAAUAGUCACAGUUAAAAUAAAGGGAAAGAAUUGUGUAAGAGAAAUCUUGUUUAAGGAUUGUAAAUCUUCAACUAUAUCCAUUUGGAAACACCAUCUUAACCUGUUUGUGUAUUGGCCAACUCAUGUUUUAGAAUAUGAAUUUCCUUUGCAGAUUUAUUCAUACGCUUUAGAGUAGACAAAUGCUGCACAUGAAUUAAAAUGGACUUAGGGACAGCUUAUUGGCUUCAUGUAGGUUCAAAAAUUUACUUUCUAGUCUUCAUUAUGGCUGCAGGUUUCAAUCACUGUUCCUCUCUAGUUAACUUAGCCUCUCCUUCUGAUGUCUUAUUUAUUUAUUUUUGUUUAAUAUUUGUUUAGUUGUCAAUGGAACUUUUAGCCAGAAAGCAUCAAUAAUGGGUCUCCAUGAAUCUGUAGUAUGGUUUGCUGCUGAUGUUACCUUCCUUGCUUGAUAAAAUUCUAACCAUUUAGCCACCAUUACUAUUGUUUCUAUCUUCUACAUAGGACUUGUAAAGAUUGUUCAAUAGGGGAUUGAAA